rnacentral:rRNA from 1 species
AACGAACGCUGGCGGCAGGCCUAACACAUGCAAGUCGAGCGCCCGCAAGGGAGCGGCGGACGGGUGAGUAACGCGUGGGAACGUGCCCUUUGCUACGGAAUAGCCUCGGGAAACUGAGAGUAAUACCGUAUGUGCCCUUCGGGGGAAAGAUUUAUCGGCAAAGGAUCGGCCCGCGUUGGAUUAGGUAGUUGGUGGGGUAAUGGCCUACCAAGCCGACGAUCCAUAGCUGGUUUGAGAGGAUGAGCAGCCACACUGGGACGGAGACACGGCCCAGACUCCUACGGGAGGCAGCAGUGGGGAAUCUUAGACAAUGGGCGCAAGCCUGAUCUAGCCAUGCCGCGUGAGCGAUGAAGGCCUUAGGGUUGUAAAGCUCUUUCGUGGGGGAAGAUAAUGACGGUACCCCAAGAAGAAGCCCCGGCUAACUCCGUGCCAGCCGCCGCCGUAAGAC